GCGCGAAACCUUUACACUGCACGACAGUCGAUAAGGGGACCCCGAGUGCGAGGGCAUACAGUCCUCGCUUUUCUGUACCGUAAGGUGGUACAGGAAUAAGGGCUGGGCAAGACCGGUGCCAGCCGCCGCGGUAAUACCGGCAGCUCGAGUGAUGACCGAUAUUAUUGGGCCUAAAGCGUCCGUAGCCGGCCACGUAGGUCCGUCGGGAAAUCCACUCGCUCAACGAGUGGGCGUCCGGCGGAAACCACGUGGCUUGGGGCCGGAAGACCUGAGGGGUACGUCUGGGGUAGGAGUGAAAUCCCGUAAUCCUGGACGGACCGCCGGUGGCGAAAGCGCCUCAGGAAGACGGACCCGACGGUGAGGGACGAAAGCUAGGGUCUCGAACCGGAUUAGAUACCCGGGUAGUCCUAGCCGUAAACGAUGCUCACUAGGUGUGGCGCUGGCUACGAGCCAGCCUGUGCCGUAGGGAAGCCGUGAAGUGAGCUGCCUGGGAAGUACGUCCGCAAGGAUGAAACUUAAAGGAAUUGGCGGGGGAGCACUACAACCGGAGGAGCCUGCGGUUUAAUUGGACUCAACGCCGGACAUCUCACCAGCUCCGACAGUAGCGAUGAUGGUCAGGUUGAUGACCUCUACCGCGAGCUACUGAGAGGAGGUGCAUGGCCGCCGUCAGCUCGUACCGUGAGGCGUCCUGUUAAGUCAGGCAACGAGCGAGACCCGCGCUCCUAAUUGCCAGCAACACCCCUGUGGUGGUUGGGUACAUUAGGAGGACUGCCGCUGCCAAAGCGGAGGAAGGAACGGGCAACGGUAGGUCAGUAUGCCCCGAAUGAGCUGGGCUACACGCGGGCUACAAUGGGUAGGACAAUGGGUUGCCACCUCGAGAGAGGGCGCUAAUCUCAGAAACCUACUCGUAGUUCGGAUUGAGGGCUGAAACUCGCCCUCAUGAAGCUGGAUUCGGUAGUAAUCGCGUCUCGGCAGGGCGCGGUGAAUACGUCCCUGCUCCUCCCAC
rnacentral:rRNA from 1 species